rnacentral:rRNA from 1 species
GUGGGGAAUUUUGGACAAUGGGCGCAAGCCUGAUCCAGCAAUGCCGCGUGCAGGAAGAAGGCCUUCGGGUUGUAAACUGCUUUUGUACGGAACGAAACGGUCCUGGUUAAUACCUGGGGCUAAUGACGGUACCGUAAGAAUAAGCACCGGCUAACUACGUGCCAGCAGCCGCGGUAAUACGUAGGGUGCGAGCGUUAAUCGGAAUUACUGGGCGUAAAGCGUGCGCAGGCGGUGCUGUAAGACAGGCGUGAAAUCCCCGGGCUUAACCUGGGAACUGCGCUUGUGACUGCACGGCUAGAGUAUGGCAGAGGGGGGUGGAAUUCCACGUGUAGCAGUGAAAUGCGUAGAGAUGUGGAGGAACACCGAUGGCGAAGGCAGCCCCCUGGGCCAAUACUGACGCUCAUGCACGAAAGCGUGGGGAGCAAACAGGAUUAGAUACCCCUGUAGUCC